GGGUCAGAUUUUUUUUUUUUGAACAAUCACAUAGCCUAGAACAUUCAAAACUUGCUCGAUAAUGAAUCAUUAAGUAGAAAGAAAUCACCACUAGCUGUACUUGAUUCCACAAUACUAAAUGCAACAUUAAAACUACAGCAAUAUCGAUUUGGGGUAAUUUCAAAAAAAAAAAAAAUGAUUUCAAUUACCUUUUCAAACAAUAUUUUAACCUAAAAUAUCAACCUCUUCAACUCAGCAUCACAACUUAUUGUUAAGAAAAUGCAAUGAUAAAAAAAUGGUCAAAUCACUUCCACAAAGUUGUGUGUCAAGCACAUGGAUACAUGGAGAAUGCAAGUUGUGGGUUUUCAAAUAACCAUCAAAUUCUCUUCUUCUUCUUCGUUUAUCACUCAAAUGACAACCAAGAAGGUGAUGAUAAUGGUACACCAGUGUCAGUGUUCGGAGUUUAAUGGUGAUGGAGGUUCACGCCGAAACGAAACGAUUCGAUUCGAAACGGUACGGGUCGAAACGGUUCGAUUCGAAAUGGUACGGGUCGAAACGGUUCGAUUCGAAACGGUACUGGUCGAAAUGGUUCGCGUCGAAACAUUCGCGUCGAAAUGGUUCGCGUCGAAACGUUUGCCUCGAAACAGUUGCAUCAUACAGAAUAUGGUUUUGUGAAGGUCUUUCUUUAUGAUUACUCAUUAACUCCUUUUUUUCAGCUUAUGAAACCAGAUAUCUUUGAGUUUAUUGAGAAGAAUAACUUGCAGAAAUGAUAACCGCAAGAGUAGAAGAGACCUUCAGCAGCAAGUCUAUGUUCAAUGGUCAUGUGCAACUGUUGCAAUGGGUCAAGCUGAUUGAUGCUACUGAAGCAAGUGUGUUGUCCGGCUCACCUAUACCCGCCUUUUUAUACUUUAAUUUUCCUUAAGUAAAUGAUGUUUUUUUAAUCUUUUAAUUAUGAAUAUUUACUUUUACAUUGUUGCCACGUGUAUGUGUGUUUGUAGGAUGUGGUCAAAUGGGUUAACUAUGUGUUUAAAUGGUAAAGCGGUUUGGAAAAUGACUCAUCAGCUUACAAAUAUGUUAAUCCAACAGUAAAUAAAGGACAAAGAAGAUAGGUUGUAUGGGAUGGAGGUGGAGGCACAAGAGAGUUCUCAUAUGGGAUAAUGUAUCUAUAUUCAUGUGUUUAUAUUCUACCUUAAAAAAGUGUACAUAUACACACCAUAUGUUAUUUUUUUUAAACUUGAUGGCCUAACUUAUUGACUGUCCUAUGCUUUAAAAGGUGUGAGCGGUUUCAGAAAGCUUAUAUGUGAGGAUAGAGUAUUUCACGUAUGUGAGACGUUUGUAUUUAUAAAACUAAUGGUUUCUCUA